CCUACGGGAGGCAGCAGUAGGGAAUUUUCCACAAUGGACGAAAGUCUGAUGGAGCAACGCCGCGUGAGUGAAGAAGGGUUUCGGCGCGUAAAGCUCCGUUGGUAGUGAAGAAAGAUAGAGGUAGUAACUGGCUUGUAUUUGACGGGAAUUACAUAGAAAGUCACGGCUAACUACGUGCCAGCAGCCGCGGUAAUACGUAGGUGGCAAGCGUUGUCCGGAUUUAUUGGGCGUAAAGCGAGUGCAGGCAGGUCUAUAAGUCUGAUGUGAAAGCCGUCGGCUCAACCGGAGAAUUGCAUCAGAAACUGUUGAACUUGAGUGCAGAAGAGGAGUGUGGAACUCCAUGUGUAGCGGUGGAAUGCGUAGAUAUAUGGAAGAACACCAGUGGCGAAGGCGGCUCUCUGGUCUGCAACUGACGCUGAGGCUCGAAAGCAUGGGUAGCGAACAGGAUUAGAUACCCGUGUAGUC
rnacentral:rRNA from 1 species